rnacentral:rRNA from 1 species
CAAUAGCGUAUAUUAAAGUUGUUGCAGUUAAAAAGCUCGUAGUUGGAUUUGUGGCGUACGGUGUGUUCCGGGCACUUGUUGUCUGAGUAACCUGCUGUUGCCAUCCUUGGGUGGAACCUGUGUGGCAUUAGGUUGUCGUGCAGGGGAUGCCCAUCAUUUACUGUGAAAAAAUUAGAGUGUUCAAAGCAGGCUUAUGCCGUUGAAAAUAUUAGCAUGGAAUAAUGAGAUAGGACUUUUUUGCUAUUUUGUUGGUUUGCGCAAAGAGGUAAUGAUUAAUAGGGACAGUUGGGGGUAUUCGUAUUCCAUUGUCAGAGGUGAAAUUCUUGGAUUUUUGGAAGACGAACUACUGCGAAAGCAUUUACCAAGGAUGUUUUCAUUAA